rnacentral:rRNA from 1 species
AGCUCCAAUAGCAUAUAUUAAUGUUGUUGCAGUUAAAAAGCUCGUAGUUGGAUUUCUGCAGGAGUGCCAAUGUCCGACCACGUUCGUGUGCAGCGGCGCCCCUGCAUCCUUCGGUUACCUCCGCUCGGCAUUCACUUGCCGGCGGUUGGCUCCGAAUAUUUACCUUGAGAAAAUUAGAGUGUUUCAGGCAGGCUUGUCCGGAAUACAUUAGCAUGGAAUAAUAGAAUAGGACUACGGUCUCGUUGUUGGUUUGAGGGACUGGAGUAAUGAUUAAUAGGGAUAGUUGGGGGCAUUAGUAUUUAAUUGUCAGAGGUGAAAUUCUCAGAUUAACUAAAGACUAACUUAUGCGAAAGCAUUUGCCAAGGAUGUUUUCA